rnacentral:siRNA from 1 species
GCCGUCGCGUGUCAGCCCUAGA